AUGAGUGGAGUAGUAUUUAAAAUCGACUUUGAGAAGGCCUAUGACAAGGUCAAAUGGUCUUUCCUCCAACAGGCCCUAAGAAUGAAAGGUUUCUCUGAUAAAUGGCGCCAAUGGAUCCAAAAUUUUGUAACUGAAGGUAGUGUGGCCAUCAAAGUCAAUGAUGAUUUGGGCCAUUACUUCCAGACAAAAAAAGUACUACGACAGGAUGACCCCAUGUCCCCAAUGUUAUUUAACAUUGUUGUUGACAUGUUGGCUAUUCUGAUUGAGCGCGCCAAGCAGGACGACCAGAUUGCAGGAGUAGUGCCA
rnacentral:rRNA from 1 species